rnacentral:sRNA from 11 species
GUCAGUAACUCAGGGCUAAAGCCACUGAGCUUGUAAGAGUAAUCAAGCAAGCUGUACUGACCAGACCACCCUGAGCGUAGUCGUUCGCGAAGCGUCCCGUAGGGUAGGGUAGCCGUUAUUUGAGUCAAGACACCGGAGAAUGCGACGCCCCUUCGGGGUUCAGCAGUC